rnacentral:rRNA from 1 species
UACGUAGGGGGCAAGCGUUGUCCGGAAUUAUUGGGCGUAAAGGGCGCGUAGGCGGGAUGGCAAGUCGGUCGUGAAAUCCUUCGGCUCAACCGAAGAACGUCGAUCGAUACUGCUGUUCUUGAGGUUGCAGAGGAGACUGGAAUUCCCGGUGUAGCGGUGAAAUGUGUAGAGAUCGGGAGGAACACCGGUGGCGAAGGCGGGUCUCUGGGCAAUUCCUGACGCUGAGGCGCGAAAGCGUGGGGAGCAAACAGG